rnacentral:rRNA from 1 species
AUUGAACGCUGGCGGCAGGCUUAACACAUGCAAGUCGAGCGGAGCGGCGGACGGGUGAGUAAUGUCUGGGAAACUGCCUGGUAUAGGGGGAUAACGGCGGGAAACGGGGGAUAAUAGCGCAUACUAUCAGAUGGGGCUAGGUCGGAUUAGCUAGUCGGUGGGGUAAAGGCCUACCAAGGCGACGAUCCGUACCUGGGCUGAGAGGAUGAUCAGCCACACUGGGACUGAGACACGGCCCAGACUCCUACGGGAGGCAGCAGUGGGGAAUAUUGGGCAAUGGGCGAAAGCCUGAUCGAGCCAUGCCGCGUGAGUGAAGAAGGUCUUCGGAUUGUAAAGCACUGUUAGUAGGGAGGCGUUACCUACCCAAUAAGCCCCGGCUAACUACGUGCCAGCAGCCGCGGUAAUAC